rnacentral:tRNA from 2 species
GCUGGAGUGGUGGAAUGGCAUACACGUCGGUCUCAAAAACCGAUGGGGGCAACUCCGUGAGGGUUCAACUCCCUCCUCCAGCA